GUGCCCAGGUGUGGAGUGGCUGCCAUCCCUACCUGAGCACACAGCCCGGGAACAGGAUCUCGUUCUCCACCUGCAGGGAGGAGCCGCGGCCCACGGACACCGUGUGCUCAUACUGCAGCCUCACCUGCUCGCACAGGCAGAUGGACACAACAAGGGCGCCAAAUCGCUCACCUCCCAGAAUCACAAUCUUCCUGCGUGUCUCCUCACUCAUGAAUGGCUUGACCAAGUUGAAGACCACGGGGAACAGUUUGGGGGCUGAAACACAUGUAAAUCUCUUGAGAAGCUAGACCAGAAAGGACGUGGGGAUACAGAGCCACAACCAAGAGCAGGUGCUGGACAGGAUUGGACAGAUAUGGCUGCCACUCUCUGAUGUGUGACCUUCAGCAAGUUACCCACCCUCUCUAAGUCUUAGUGCAGUUAACUGGAAAAUGAAGGUGAAAUAAUGUAUGUAUAACACCUGGCACAGUUCCUGGCUUUCAAUAAAUGGUUGUCUCAGAC
rnacentral:antisense_RNA from 1 species